ensembl:misc_RNA 7SK 7SK RNA
AGAUGUGAGGGUGACCUGCAUGUGACAUCUGUCACCUAAUUGAUGGCCAAGGUUAAUUCAACUGACAGAGGUGGUUAGUUAGGUGUUCCCUUCCUCCCACACCACUCCAUGUGUGCCCCUCCCAAUGCUGAAGCCUUGGUCAAAGAAAACGACCUUCCCCAAUAGAGGAAAAUCAUUCUUCCAUUGAAGCUAUACAAGUAGCUGAACUCCCAGCUAGAAUAUCCAGAAAAGCUCUCAAAAUUGGAGGACUCAAACUUCCUGACACCAAAACUUAAUACAAAGCCACAGUAAUCACUAUAGUGUAGAAGUGGCUUACAGAU